GGGAAUGUAUUUAUUUUAUAAUUUUUAAUUUGCAAUUAAAAGGUACUAAGAAAUUGAUUGUUUAGUCUUUCUCA
rnacentral:tRNA from 1 species